CCGGCGUCGGUGGAUAUGAUUUUCAAGCCCGCGUACAAAAUUCCGUUAAAAUAGUAUAAAAAUUAAAUUAUCGAAGUAAAUAAAUAUAAUUUUUAAUAUAUAAUAAAGUUUUUUAAAGCCAUAGAGUCAUUUUAGAUCAAUAAUUAGUCGUGAACAACGUUUAUUGUCAGUAAUACAAUCGGAGCACUUAUUUUGGUGGUUUGCGAUUACGGCGUCAUUAGUCCGUUAGUUAAUUUUAUUAAUUUUUUAGUGUUUUUUUGUACAAAAAAUAAUAGUUUUGUAUAAUUAAAAAGUGUAUCUAUUAUUUAAGUGUAAAAAUGAAGCGUUUUGUAGUGUGUUAAUACAAGUAGAGCAAAUUUAUUGUGUUGCGAGCAAUAAAUUGGAGUAGGUGAAUUCCUGGAAAAGCUUCUAGGACAUCAAAAUAAACAAGGUCGGAAGUUUAUUGUGUGACCUUUAUGAUACAUUUGCAGACAUGAUGCUCCUCCCCAGAUGAAAAGAUGAGAAAGGGAUGGUCGUGGGAUCGACAAUUAUACUCCUUUAUCUGGUGAGAAUUAAUAUAGGAUUACUUUAGCUUGGAGACUUGAAUGUGGCAAACGACAAAGCACUUCCAGGAUAAUGUGUUGAGACAUCAAAAAAAGGAUAAGGUCGUGACAGAUGGGGGAAGUCCGAGCACUAGAUAGACAGAUUACACUUGACCCUUGAGAGGAGAACUCAACCACGAAUCAACUUUAUAUCAAGAUCGUAUUCUCGUCUAAUAAUUAUUUUUCAUUUAUUUUUAUAAAAAAGAUCCCCAUUUUUUUUUUUACUUAUAAAUCUGAUAUUUUCUACAAACCCAAAGUGUUCGCAAAAAAAUGAUAAUGUACUUACUUUAAUAAGCUUACGGUAAGUAUGAUUUAAUAACGAAACUUGGUGUAUGAUGAUGUACUUAAGAA